GAUUGGGGCCCCACUGUGCUAGUUUUUGUACUGGCUUAUGGUAAAACAGAGCCCUGCCCUGAAGAGUUUACAGUCAAGGCAGACAAUGGAUGGGAGGGGAAACCAAUGCAUGGAGAGGAAAAGUGACUCGCCCAAGCAACUGUUGGGUCUACCACAUCCUCUGCUGCUCUCUCUGCCUUGGAAUCCUGGGAAGCUCCAGGAAAAGUGCAGCGGUUACUGAACCUCAAGAGGAGGAAACUACAUAGAAACAGAAAAUUGGUUGCUAAUUUUGGAAGAAAAGUUGAAAAAAACCUAAGCAGAUUCUUUACAUAUUUACUCUGCAUCAAAUUCUGAAUCAUAGAAAUGUGUAAGUAUAUUGAUGUAUGUUAUCUAACCUCAAUUCAAAUACAUUAAUGGAGCAUUUUAUGUUGGGUUUGGCAUUUAUAAACAUAGUACCUAUAAUUUCCAUAACUGUUGUAAAAUAAAAUUUGUAUAAAUUCCAAGCAAUAUAUAAAAUAUAGGCAGAAUUUAUUUCUAAAAAUAUCUGUCACUUUGUGUACCCUGCAUACAAUUUACCUCUUGUACGUGUUCUUUUAAACCUGUUCAUGGGGAGUAUUACACUACCUCUGAGUAACUAGGAACUUGUACAAAGAUGCAAAAAGUCUUGGACCAAGUUUCCAAACCCUGCUGACCUAUUCAGCAAAAAGUCUGCCAAUGCAUGGAACUCUUUUAGUUCUUGUAAGCAAGCUCUCUCAUCAACAUGCUUCUUUCCAACUUGUGUUGGCCUUUCCAGUAUGGUCCGUUCCAAAGGAAGAGGGGCUUGAGCACAUUAUAUGAUUCACUAUAAUGUAUAUGAUAUAUUUUUCAAAGUUACUUAACAAAAGGUUGGACACCUGGUGACGUAGUUCUCCUUAAGCAUGUACACGCACUACAGACAGCAGUUUAGACAUGCUGGACUGGGAUUCCAGCUCUAGCCAAGCAGACAUGAUGUUCUCAAAUGCUGUGAUGAUCUGUUAGCUACGUAACCUUUUGACCUCGUGUUGAAUCGCAUGGUUUCUGAUCUCACUGGGCCAAUUUCACCCCUGGUGUAAGUCCAAUAGUUUCAGUAGAGUAACACUAUGGAGGAAUGUUGACCAAUGUGUUUCAGGGUUGGAGCGCCCAUGGGAAAAAAAUUGGUGAGUAUUGAGCCCCACCAGCCAGCCUCCCUAUCAGCGCCUCCCCCACCCCCCAGUGCCUCCCGCCCACUGUGGCUCUGUUGUUCUGUGGCAUGCAGGAAGCGCUGGGUGGGAAGGGGAAGAGCAAA